CAUCAUAAAUAGUCUUGGCCCGGGUUUUGUAAGUCUUUUUUCUCCUUUGCGUAGCAAGGCGUGUGGGACUUGAAUGUGGGAUUUCGUUCGUUUCCCCGGCGCCCGCCGCAGAGGCUGCCCCUGAGCGAGGGUGGGGCGUCCGGCCAUGGCGCCCCGCGCCAUCUUGGCACAUCGCUGCGUGCAGGCUCCUGAGCACUGCACGUGGGUUUGCAGCGCCACACGGGGAUUUUAAGACGUCCACUAGGGUGUCAUCUUUGGAUAAAGUGUGAGUGCUGGAAGCUCAAGCCAGGGGCAGUGUCCUCCCCACAGUGUCUGCAUUAACUUGAUGACUGAAGGCCUAAGGAAUUGGAAUCUACCUCCUUGGAGAAGUGCUGUCAGAUGGCUGGCAAGCCUGGUGGUGGUGGUUCCUGAUACCUAAUUCACAGGCUGUGACAAAAAGAGAGCCAUGUGCCUUCUCCAUGGCUGCUGUGGUGAGUGUCAUCCAUCUUGGCAACCAGCCCCAGAGUGGGAAUGAUGACCUGGUGGACUAGAGUCUCUGAGCUUUUCUCUGAGGAUCUUUGAAACCACCUGAUCCACUCUUCCCUCCCUCAACUCUGUGGCAUCUCACCUGCCCACCUGCUUUAUUUUUUUUUCUUUUACUAAUUGCCUACAUGGUUAUAACGUGUUCCUUUUAUGAAAUUAUAAGAUUUUGUUGGCACAAAGAAUGUCUUCUAUCUGGUGUUGGACAGAUGUAGAAACUUGGCAUCUGUUCUUUCCUGUAUUACCUGUAUGAGCAGCUGACAACUUGUGAAAAAAAAACUGUUCAGAAAUUUUAGUCACUAUACAAGCGCCUGUUUUUUUUUUUUUUUU